rnacentral:tRNA from 1 species
UGCUCCCGGUGGACGGCGGGGCGCGCUCCGGCUUCUGAGGCCGGGGGCGGGGCUCAGGUGACCCUGCGGGCCCGG